GACGAACGCUGGCGGCGUGCUUAACACAUGCAAGUCGAACGAAGAGCGAUGGAAGCUUGCUUCUAUCAAUCUUAGUGGCGAACGGGUGAGUAACGCGUAAUCAACCUGCCCUUCAGAGGGGGACAACAGUUGGAAACGACUGCUAAUACCGCAUACGAUCUAAACUCGGCAUCGAGGAUAGAUGAAAGGUGGCCUCUACAUGUAAGCUAUCACUGAAGGAGGGGAUUGCGUCUGAUUAGCUAGUGGGAGGGGUAACGGCGCACCAAGGCGAUGAUCAGUAGCCGGUCUGAGAGGAUGAACGGCCACAUUGGGACUGAGACACGGCCCAGACUCCUACGGGAGGCAGCAGUGGGGAAUCUUCCGCAAUGGACGAAAGUCUGACGGAGCAACGCCGCGUGAGUGAUGACGGCCUUCGGGUUGUAAAGCUCUGUUAAUCGGGACGAAAGGCCUUCUUGCGAAUAGUGAGAAGGAUUGACGGUACCGGAAUAGAAAGCCACGGCUAACUACGUG
rnacentral:rRNA from 1 species